rnacentral:rRNA from 1 species
UGGUCGACCUGCAGGCGGCCGCGAAUUCACUAGUGAUUAGAGUUUGAUCAUGGCUCAGGACGAACGCUGGCGGCGUGCCUAACACAUGCAAGUCGAACGGAGAAUUUCAAUGAGUUUACUCGGAGAAAUUUUUAGUGGCGGACGGGUGAGUAACGCGUGGGUAACCUACCCAUAAAGUCGGGACAACCCUUGGAAACGAGGGCUAAUACCGGAUAAUCUUUUGGCUUGGCAUCAAGCUUUAAGAAAAGGUGGCCUCUGAAAAUGCUACCGAUUAUGGAUGGACCCGCGUCUGGUUAGCUAGUUGGUGGGGUAAAGGCCUACCAAGGCGACGAUCAGUAGCCGGCCUGAGAGGGUGAACGGCCACACUGGGACUGAGACACGGCCCAGACUCCUACGGGAGGCAGCAGUGGGGAAUCUUCCGCAAUGGACGAAAGUCUGACGGAGCAACGCCGCGUGUAUGAUGAAGGUCUUCGGAUUGUAAAGUACUGUCUUUG